rnacentral:rRNA from 1 species
UACGAAGGGGGCUAGCGUUGCUCGGAAUCACUGGGCGUAAAGCGCACGUAGGCGGCUUGUUAAGUCAGGGGUGAAAUCCUGGAGCUCAACUCCAGAACUGCCUUUGAUACUGGCGAGCUUGAGUUCGGGAGAGGUGAGUGGAACUGCGAGUGUAGAGGUGAAAUUCGUAGAUAUUGGGAAGAACACCGGUGGCGAAGGCGGCGACCUGGUCCAUUACUGACGCUGAGGCGCGACAGCGUGGGGAGCAAACAGG